rnacentral:lncRNA from 1 species
CACACACUGCUCUUACUUAUUCUUCAUCAAUGGCUUCUAAAAUCUCUCUUUCUGCCCUCUGGAACCUUCCAAUUUCCACUCAGAAAUCACAAUAUUCUCCUCAAUUCCCCCUCCUACAGCAGUUUCCUUCUUCUUCUAGGGUUUUCUCAUCGAAAUUGAAAUCGAAUUCUCACAGAUCUGUAUCAGUUUCAGCUGCUGUGACUGAAGAAUCGAAAACGUCUCCUCCGUCAUCA